UACAGAGGUCUCAAGCGUUGUUCGGAUUCAUUGGGCGUAAAGGGUGCGUAGGCGGCGCGGUAAGUCGGGUGUGAAAUCUCGGAGCUUAACUCCGAAACUGCAUUCGAUACUGCCGUGCUUGAGGACUGGAGAGGAGACUGGAAUUACGGUGUAGCGGUGAAAUGCGUAAAGUAUCGAUAAGGAAGACCGUGGCGGAAAGGGCGG
rnacentral:rRNA from 1 species